AUUGAACGCUGGCGGCAGGCUUAACACAUGCAAGUCGAGCGGGGGAAGGUAGCUUGCUACCGGACCUAGCGGCGGACGGGUGAGUAAUGCUUAGGAAUCUGCCUAUUAGUGGGGGACAACAUCUCGAAAGGGAUGCUAAUACCGCAUACGUCCUACGGGAGAAAGCAGGGGACCUUCGGGCCUUGCGCUAAUAGAUGAGCCUAAGUCGGAUUAGCUAGUUGGUGGGGUAAAGGCCUACCAAGGCGACGAUCUGUAGCGGGUCUGAGAGGAUGAUCCGCCACACUGGGACUGAGACACGGCCCAGACUCCUACGGGAGGCAGCAGUGGGGAAUAUUGGACAAUGGGGGGAACCCUGAUCCAGCCAUGCCGCGUGUGUGAAGAAGGCCUUUUGGUUGUAAAGCACUUUAAGCGAGGAGGAGGCUACCGAGAUUAAUACCCUUGGAUAGUGGACGUUACUCGCAGAAUAAGCACCGGCUAACUCUGUGCCAGCCGCCGCGGUAACAC
rnacentral:rRNA from 1 species